rnacentral:rRNA from 1 species
UACAGAGGGGGCAAGCGUUGUUCGGAAUUACUGGGCGUAAAGGGCGCGUAGGCGGCCUUCUAAGUCAAACGUGAAAUCCCCGGGCUCAACCCGGGAACUGCGUCCGAUACUGGAAGGCUUGAAUCCGGGAGAGGGAUGCGGAAUUCCAGGUGUAGCGGUGAAAUGCGUAGAUAUCUGGAGGAACACCGGUGGCGAAGGCGGCAUCCUGGACCGGCAUUGACGCUGAGGCGCGAAAGCCAGGGGAGCAAACGGG